CAGUAGCCACGGUAAUACGUAGGGUGCAAGCGUUAAUCGGAAUUACUGGGCGUAAAGCGUGCGCAGGCGGUUCGCUAAGACAGAUGUGAAAUCCCCGGGCUCAACCUGGGAAUGGCAAUGGAUACUGGCAAGCUAGAGUGUGUCAGAGGAUGGUGGGAUUCCCGGUGUAGCGGUGAAAUGCCUAGAGAUCGGGAGGAACAUCAGUGGCGAAGGCGGCCAUCUGGGACAACACUGACGCUGAGGCACGAAAGCGUGGGGAGCAAACAGGAUUAGAUACCCCUGUAGUCCCUGUCUCUUAUAA
rnacentral:rRNA from 1 species